rnacentral:rRNA from 1 species
GAUGAACGCUGGCGGCGUGCCUAAUACAUGCGAGUCGAGCGAACAGACGAGGAGCUUGCUCCUCUGACGUUAGCGGCGGACGGGUGAGUAACACGUGGAUAACCUACCUAUAAGACUGGGAUAACUUCGGGAAACCGGAGCUAAUACCGGAUAAUAUAUUGAACCGCAUGGUUCAAUAGUGAAAGACGGUUUUGCUGUCACUUAUAGAUGGAUCCGCGCCGCAUUAGCUAGUUGGUAAGGUAACGGCUUAUCAAGGCAACGAUGCGUAGCCGACCUGAGAGGGUGAUCGGCCACACUGGAACUGAGACACGGUCCAGACUCCUACGGGAGGCAGCAGUAGGGAAUCUUCCGCAAUGGGCGAAAGCUUGACGGAGCAACGCCGCGUGAGUGAUGAAGGUCUUCGGAUCGUAAAACUCUGUUAUUAGGGAAGAACAAAUGUGUAAGUAACUAUGCACGUCUUGACGGUACCUAAUCAGAAAGCCACGGCUAACUACGUG